rnacentral:lncRNA from 1 species
UUUCACCCUAACCCUCCUAAUGUGAUCUCAUUAUUGAAUUUCUCUCCUCCACCCAACUUCUUCAUCCUCUCCAUCCUCUCCCACCGUGCCUUCUUCUCCAAAUCUCAUCUCAUUCUUCAAUUUCUCUCUUCCGACCAAACUUCUUUAUCCUCUCCCACAUUGCCUUCUUCUCUAAGUGUGCCUUCUUUCACUUACAUUUUCCAUCUUCUUUCUGGGUUUGUCUCAAUUGUUUUCCACCUUUUCUGGUAGGUGGGGAUGUGUCACAAUUUUGCAGAAAAAACUUUGCAUCCUAGGAUGUUGGAUAAGAAGGCAAGCUUGGCCUGGUUUGGUGGGUCCAUGGCCUGGUUUGGUGGAGGCUGAAGAAGGCACUGUGGGAGAGGAUGAAGUUUGGGUGGAAGAGAGAAAUUGAAGAAUGAGAUGUUUGGAGAUGACGGCACUGAAGGAGAGGAUGGAGAGGAUGGAGAGGAUGGAGAGGAUGAAAAGUUGUGGAAGAGAUAAAUUCAAUAAUGAGAUCAGAUUUGGAGGGUUAGGGUGAAAGAAUAAGUUAAUA